AGUGAACGCUGGCGGUAGGCCUAACACAUGCAAGUCGAACGGCAGCACAGUAAGAGCUUGCUCUUAUGGGUGGCGAGUGGCGGACGGGUGAGGAAUACAUCGGAAUCUACUUUUUCGUGGGGGAUAACGUAGGGAAACUUACGCUAAUACCGCAAACGACCUACGGGUGAAAGCAGGGGAUCUUCGGACCUUGCGCGAUUGAAUGAGCCGAUGUCGGAUUAGCUAGUUGGCGGGGUAAAGGCCCACCAAGGCGACGAUCCGUAGCUGGUCUGAGAGGAUGGUCGGCCACACUGGAGCUGAGACGCGGUCCAGGCUCCUACGGGAGGCAGCAGUGGGGAAUAUUGGGCAAUGGGCGCAAGCCUGAUCCAGCCAUACCGCGUGGGUGAAGAAGGCCUUCGGGUUGUAAAGCCCUUUUGUUGGGAAAGAAAAGCAGCAGGUUGAUACCCCGCUGUUCUGACGGUACCCAAAGAAUAAGCACCGGCUAACUUCGUG
rnacentral:rRNA from 1 species